UCUGCUCUCUGCGGCGGGUGCGCGCCCAGUGAAGCCUCGGCUCCGCUAGUCUUCCAGUCAGAUGCGCAGGCGCAGAGAGGCGGGAGGAAGGGAGGGAGGAGGGAGGGAAGGAGGGGACAGACCCAAGCUGGUCGCUCCUUCGGUGCGCAGCCGCGCGACUAGAAAGCCAACUAAGGUUUCUCUUCCUCCCCCUCCCUCCCCCCCCCCGGAGCCUAGGCCCGAAGGUAAGGAGGCCCCCUUGGAGGCAGCGGAGGUUUCUCCCUGAAAUCUUGCGCUCCUCGCCCGCUACGGGAAUGGAAAAGAGUCUGUAGGGGACCAUCUUUCUAGGUUAAGGGGAGGCAGUCCCUGCUCCCACCCCCAGGCCCAGCUUCCUCUGCUGUGUAAUGGGGACGAGUCAUCACCUCCCGGGAGCGGACACACGGAAGCAGGGCAAGCCCCAAAGCGCACUGUGAGUGCCGGCUCUGGCCAUUCCGGCUGGCGGCGCCGACAGCCCCUCACCCCGAAAUCCCCUGCCGGCCCCCGGGACCCUCUCCGACUUCCCCAGCAGCUGCUCUCCUAGAACGUGGGGCGGCUUCUUACGUAGAAGCCCGUUCACUUUGCACCGAGCCGAGGGUUUGUUUGCCGAUAACUGAAACCUCGGGGAAGAGCAGAGGGAGACGAAUCGGACCUCUCCGGGAUCAGGAGCUCUUCAAAAGUGGGCUUAGAGGAAAGGGGGAUUCCCCCAGGCCCGAACCCGACUCGGUUCAGCGAAGAGGCAAAAUCCUAAGGGAGCAAUUCGCACCACGUUAAGCCCGUUGCAGUCACUCCCACAGUUAAGUGCGGGAGCUGGUGAUUAUGGGAACAAUCGGAAUGAAAAGGCCUCCAAGAGAAAAAUACUAGGGACAGAAAAAGAAGGUCUAGGGGUUGAAAACAGCUUUAAAAAACCAUAGCAGCGUAAUGGGAAGAAAUUCAAAACUGCCACCCUUAGGGGCCAAUCUCAGUAUCCUCACAAAAGACUCACAGAAUGAAAUGCAAGUUUUUGACAGUGAAUGAACUAUGAAGAUGUAAUCCUGAG